rnacentral:rRNA from 1 species
GACGAACGCUGGCGGCGUGCUUAACACAUGCAAGUCGAACGGAAAGGCCCUGCUUUUGUGGGGUGCUCGAGUGGCGAACGGGUGAGUAACACGUGAGUAACCUGCCCUUGACUUUGGGAUAACUUCAGGAAACUGGGGCUAAUACCGGAUAGGAGCUCCUGCUGCAUGGUGGGGGUUGGAAAGUUUCGGCGGUUGGGGAUGGACUCGCGGCUUAUCAGCUUGUUGGUGGGGUAGUGGCUUACCAAGGCUUUGACGGGUAGCCGGCCUGAGAGGGUGACCGGCCACAUUGGGACUGAGAUACGGCCCAGACUCCUACGGGAGGCAGCAGUGGGGAAUAUUGCACAAUGGGCGGAAGCCCGAUGCAGCAACGCCGCGUGCGGGAUGACGGCCUUCGGGUUGUAAACCGCUUUCGCCUGUGACGAAGCGUGAGUGACGGUAAUGGGUAAAGAAGCACCGGCUAACUACGUGCCAGCAGCCGCGGUGAUACGUAGGGUGCGAGCGUUGUCCGGAUUUAUUGGGCGUAAAGGGCUCGUAGGUGGUUGAUCGCGUCGGAAGUGUAAUCUUGGGGCUUAACCCUGAGCGUGCUUUCGAUACGGGUUGACUUGAGGAAGGUAGGGGAGAAUGGAAUUCCUGGUGGAGCGGUGGAAUGCGCAGAUAUCAGGAGGAACACCAGUGGCGAAGGCGGUUCUCUGGGCCUUUCCUGACGCUGAGGAGCGAAAGCGUGGGGAGCGAACAGGCUUAGAUACCCUGGUAGUCCACGCUGUAAACGGUGGGUACUAGGUGUGGGGUCCAUUCCACGGGUUCCGUGCCGUAGCUAACGCUUUAAGUACCCCGCCUGGGGAGUACGGCCGCAAGGCUAAAACUCAAAGGAAUUGACGGGGCCCCGCACAAGCGGCGGAGCAUGCGGAUUAAUUCGAUGCAACGCGUAGAACCUUACCUGGGUUUGACAUGGAUCGGGAGUGCUCAGAGAUGGGUGUGCCUCUUUUGGGGUCGGUUCACAGGUGGUGCAUGGCUGUCGUCAGCUCGUGUCGUGAGAUGUUGGGUUAAGUCCCGCAACGAGCGCAACCCUUGUUCACUGUUGCCAGCACGUUAUGGUGGGGACUCAGUGGAGACCGCCGGGGUCAACUCGGAGGAAGGUGGGGAUGACGUCAAGUCAUCAUGCCCCUUAUGUCCAGGGCUUCACGCAUGCUACAAUGGCUGGUACAGAGAGUGGCGAGCCUGUGAGGGUGAGCGAAUCUCGGAAAGCCGGUCUCAGUUCGGAUUGGGGUCUGCAACUCGACCUCAUGAAGUCGGAGUCGCUAGUAAUCGCAGAUCAGCAACGCUGCGGUGAAUACGUUCCCGGGGAU